rnacentral:rRNA from 1 species
AGGACAAACGCUGGCGGCGUACCUAAGACAUGCAAGUCGAACGGGACUUUCCGCCUUUGGUGGGAAGUCGAGUGGCGGACGGGUGAGUAACGCGUGGGAACCUGUCGCGCGGUGGGGGAUACCGCCGGGAAACCGGCGCUAAUACCGCAUAGGUUCAUCGGAAGGUGAACAAAGCAGCAAUGCGCCGUGUGAGGGGCCCGCGUCCGAUUAGCUGGUUGGUGGGGUAACGGCCUACCAAGGCGACGAUCGGUAGCUGGUCUGAGAGGAUGGUCAGCCACACUGGGACUGAGACACGGCCCAGACUCCUACGGGAGGCAGCAGUUAGGAAAUUUUUCCAAUGGGGGAAACCCUGAGAGAGUAACGCCGCGUGGGGGAUGACGGCCUUCGGGUUGUAACCCCUUUUCCGUGGGACGAGUAGAAGACGGUACCACGGGAAGAAGCCUCGGCUAACUACGUGCCAGCAGCCGC